rnacentral:lncRNA from 1 species
CUUAAUCCAGCAUUCGUCCGUGGUUUAUGAUGAGGUGCGUGCUAAUUUGUGUCUAGUGGUUGAAAGGAAUCCAAAUUCGUGAUGAGUCGAUUCACGCUCACGAUAAUAGGGCUCCUUAUUUUCCCGAGCGUGCUCUCGUCCAGAGAAGAAAGACUGCUCCAGACGCCAUCCAAAGAGACUCUGGAACGAACAUGUCCUUGUUUGCCCGUCGAAGUAUGCCAGAAACACCAAGGCACAGGCGGUAAUUCAGGAUGGUCGGGCUUGAUUCCAGUGUGCGAGGACUUGAGCCUGGUGCGCUGCUGCGGGGCUCCACCUAUGAAAAAAGUGAGUUAUCCCGGCCAGUUAAUACAAAAUGCCCGUUUAGAUUUCAGCCACAAUCCCAGUGAUGAAAUAAUCCGUCAUACGAGGGACACACUGAGCGACAAGGAGUCCUUGAUGAAGAAGUUGGACGAAACCAAAAGCUUCAAGAAACAAGAUCUGAGCGAACUUAAAGGCAAAAUACGGCCACGCAGAGCUAUUGACGAUGAUGAAGCUGUAGUCACAACUCAAAUGAGUGAUGCAAAAGUUAAUGUGACAGUUAUGUUGCAUGCAGUCAAUGAAACCAAAAUUCAGUCAGAGAGCGAGACGAAAAAUGCACCUGAAGUCAUCGUUGAACAGGAAAUGCAUCCAGCGAAUGAUAUGAAAAGUGGAGUGACACCCAUCACCGGAGGAGAGGUUUCGUCAGUCACUGAAAUGAAAAGUGACGUGGUUCCCACCACAGAGCCAGAGCUGCAUUCAACGAUUUUAGAAAAGAGUGAGGGGACAGUCUCAGCACAGCAGGAAGUGCAAAUGAACGAUGAUUUAGAGAAAGCAGCUGCAGUUACUACUGAGCAAGUGAUGCACUCAACUAGUGAUAUGAAGAAUGAGAUGGCAGCCAACGUUGAGUCAGGGAUACAAGAAAAAAGUGAAGCAACAGUCGUUCCUGAAGGAAGUACCCAGUCAGGUAACGUGAUGACGAAUGGAGUUGAUGUUACCACGGAGAAGGAGAUGCGUCUUAUCGAAGAGGCGAAGAAUGAGACUGUAAGUAUGAUCGCUCCAGAAAUGCGCAUGGUCAACGAAAUGGGAAGUGAAGGUGCAUCCACAACCGAACAACAAAUUCCUUCAGAAUCUGAAAAGGUCAACGGAGCAUCAUCCAUCUCAGGACUCGUUAUGAAUGAUGAAGUUGUAACUGCAAAUCCUUCAGUCACCUCGUCCGAAAAUGAAAUAAAAAUUCAAGCUACAGACAACUCAACACAAAAUGGGAGCUCUGAUGACAGUUCUACAGCACGUCAGGAAAUUUCGACGCAGGAUUUGAGUUCUAAAUCCCUUGAAGAGGUCACCACUGAAAAUUCUACCAAGUUGUCAACUGAAUCUGUUGAAAUGACAUCAUCCAGCUCAUCAGAUAUUAGCACCACGAUUUUGAGUUCAAGUGCACCAAAUGAUGAAUCAUCGGCAAAUCGUGAAAUGACUGAGCAAAGUCUGACAAAAAUUGACUCAGUGAGUAAAGUUGCGACCCUUUCACCCUUAAUGGACAGUAGCUCUGUCAAGGCAGAUUCUUCGAAUGUGAAUGUAAGCAGCACAGAGAGAAGUAUUCAAGCUACAACUCAGGACAAGUCAAUCUCAACCAGUAAAACUUUCCCAUCAAUUUUAGUAAGGUGA